rnacentral:tRNA from 1 species
AGCCACUUAGCUCAGUUGGCAGAGCAAGGGACUGAAAAUCCCUGUGUCUGUGGUUCGAUUCCACAAGUGGCUACCA